UCUUGCAAAUGUCUUUCGCAACGUCUUCUCUUUCGGUUUCAGCUAUCUUUCACUUCUUGCUCUUAAUGUUGGACAAUCUACAAAAUAACCUCUCCCAUGUCCUCUCAGAAACACUACUCAAUUUUCAACCACCACCUCAUGUUCCUGUUUUUGGCUUUCUUUGAGUCUGUCCUUCAAGCUGCGUGACUUUGAUUCAUCUACAAUACUCUUUUCAAUAAGCGUUUCCGCAAUAAUGAACUGUGACACUCUUGGUUCCUGGAAAAAAAAAGCAAAAAAAAAAAAGGACUGUCCGAAGAACAGCUGGACUCCAUUGGGACGACGCUGGGACUCAUGACCAGCAUGUGAGGCAAGAGGACAAGGACGCCUGUUAGGAAACACAAGCAGUAUGAAAUAUCCAAGACGAAUUCUUCUGUGUAAAUUUGUGUGUCUGAAUCCAAGAAAAUGCAGUGGGAUUGGUGACAGCUGCCAUUUUGGGAGAAUCCCAAAGGUCAUGUAACAGCUUUGCAAACAAAAGUCGCUUUAAGUUCAGCAUUCACCCACAAAUCCAUUGGACGCACUGAAGACACAUGCAACUUCAAAAGGAGUCAAGCGCAUUUGCUCAGAUGGUGCCAAACACCCUCAGAAAAAUCUGCAUUACAGUAAACUGCUUUCAUCAAGGAAUUAUUAGAAGGAAGUGUUUGCUCCAUUUGAAAAGAUGCCAUGCUCGGAUUGAUUUUUCACAUGCCAAAGAAAGAGCGGGAGAUGAUAGGGAUUCGGCGGAUGAUUUCAAGUGGCCUGCCAAAGACAGACUGCUGGCCUACAUACAUAUUUAAAAAAAGGAUCUCGCAGGUGAAUCAA